CAAAAUUCAGAGCUGUCAAGCACCUCACCUCAAGUAAACAAUUUCAAGACCUUGCAAGAAACAUUUUGCAAGCAAACAUCAUUUCAUGAAAUGAAUAAGUAAAAUUGUCACUCUGCAUGACAUAAUCUUUUAACUUCAAAAUAGUAUGAAACAAAAAACACAUGCUACAGUUAACCCUACAAGUAUCCCUUCAAACUGAAGGCCUGAAGCACAUGUUCCAAUCAAAUGGAUCCAUAGGGGGCGAAGUUUUCUAAAGAACUAAAUAAACCGCAUAAAGCCCUUAAAAAGAAAAGCACAAAACAUUUAACAUUUAAGAAUCAGCGAUUGUAACUUCCACCUCAACACCAGGUUCAAUUGUAAUGGAAGUUAUCUGUUUGACCACCUCAGGGGAACUAAACAGGUCAAUAACUCGCUUGUGGACCCGAAGCUCAAAUCUGUCCCAGGUGUUGGUUCCUGCAAACAGAACAGAAAAUUAAAAUUAUUUAUAGCAUGAGCAAAACCAUCUUUAGUAUUGCAUUACAUAAACAGCACCAAGACCCUAACGAUUUCAAAAACCAAUAACAUGUAUCAAAAAGCUUAACCAAUCAAAAUCCCAAUAUCAACCUCAAAAAGCUUAACCAAUCAAACCCAAUAUCAUCUAUGAUCAAUUUACACCUUAGCCAAGGCACUCUACCACAAAGAUGAACAAUGAUGUAACAUACAGGUGACUAUAUGCAACAUAUCACAAGUAUACUUCCUAUGAUGCUUUGGGCAAUGAAGUAAUCUGGUUAUAAAAAAAAGUUUUUUAAAAAAAUGCAGCUCAAAAUUUAAUAUUUAAUUACAAUGAUCAAGAUCAAGCACAAUAGUGAAGCAAAAAAUCUGACAUAAAAAAUUAGAUGUAUAAUACAACUUGCACAGUAAAGGAAGGGUAGCGUAUAACAACUUAGAUGUAUAACAUAUGAAUCUGACAUCAAUUAGUUCAUUAAAGCAAAUUAAAAAUUAUGACGUAACAAAAAAAAAAGGUCAAAACCAACAAAAAUUUCCUUAACGCUGUAGGCUACACAUAAGUUGAUUAAGAUAUGGCAUUGCAUUGAAAUUUUAACAUGACUUAGUGAGUUAUUGGUUAAUACCUUCACCACAAGGAGACUUCCUAGUGGUAAUGUGAAGAACCUUGGUGGGCAUUCUCACUGGUCCCUUGACUCUUAAUCGCUUGUCCUUAGCACCACGAACCAAAUCGGCACAGACUUUUUCAAGGUUUUUGACAUUCUUGGAGGAGAGUGUGAUCCUGAUCUUGUGAAUCUGCUCUUGGGACUCCUCCAACCCCGCCUUUGUUGGCUUCAUAGCUCCGUAUGCUGCUGCCAUUUUCUCCUUCACUUUCCUGAAAGACGAGAGAGUGGAGUUGCAGCUUCUUGCUGGGGCGGCCUCUUUGUUACGUGUCCUCUCAGAAGAAUAG
rnacentral:misc_RNA from 1 species